UAGGUUGGAUCUCCCUAGAUGCCAAUACCUCCUGCAUCGCUGCUGUAUUUUCUUUAUGGCUACUCCGAUGAGAUGGGAGUAUGCCUCUGCAUUGUAUGAACUUUAGCACUGAAUAUGCCCUUAUGUUCUGACAUGAGAGAUGCCCGGUGUGGACUCUUUUAUGUAUCCCAGAUUACACAUUUGUUGUCUAUUAUGAUGAAUUGAUGAGGAUGAUACAUCACCUGCCUUGAAAAAGGCCUGUCAUCAG